rnacentral:rRNA from 1 species
UACGGGGGGAGCAAGCGUUGUUCGGAUUUACUGGGCGUAAAGGGCGCGUAGGCGGUCAGCACAAGUCAGUUGUGAAAUCUCCGAGCUUAACUCGGAACGGUCAACUGAUACUGUGCGACUAGAGUGCGGAAGGGGCAACUGGAAUUCUCGGUGUAGCGGUGAAAUGCGUAGAUAUCGAGAGGAACACCUGCGGCGAAGGCGGGUUGCUGGGCCGACACUGACGCUGAUGCGCGAAAGCCAGGGGAGCGAACGGG